AAUCUUGCGCAAUGGGCGAAAGCCUGACGCAGUAACGCCGCGUGGGGGAUGAAGGCCCUCGGGUUGUAAACCCCUUUCAGCAGGAACGAAGAUGACGGUACCUGCAGAAGAAGCCCCGGCCAACUACGUGCCAGCAGCCGCGGUAAGACGUAGGGGGCGAGCGUUGUCCGGAUUUACUGGGCGUAAAGCGCCCGCAGGCGGCUGAGUAAGUCAGAUGUGAAAGCCCCAGGCUCAACCUGGGGAGGCCAUCUGAUACUGCUCUAGCUAGAGUCCGGUAGGGGAGCACGGAAUCUCCGGUGUAGCGGUGAAAUGCUUAGAUAUCGGAGGGAACACCAGCAGCGAAGGCGGUGCUCUGGGCCGGUACUGACGCUCAUGGGCGAAAGCGUGGGGAGCGAAC
rnacentral:rRNA from 1 species